CGGGACGGGUGAGUAACGCGUGAGGAACCUGCCUCAAAGAGGGGGACAACAGUUGGAAACGACUGCUAAUACCGCAUAAGCCCACGGCUCGGCAUCGAGCAGAGGGAAAAGGAGCAAUCCGCUUUGAGAUGGCCUCGCGUCCGAUUAGCUAGUUGGUGAGGUAACGGCCCACCAAGGCGACGAUCGGUAGCCGGACUGAGAGGUUGAACGGCCACAUUGGGACUGAGACACGGCCCAG
rnacentral:rRNA from 1 species